rnacentral:lncRNA from 1 species
GUUUGUUGUGGCAGUUAACCCCUGAUUAAGGGAUGAGCAUAAUUUCCAUGACAAGUUGCCCUUGCUUAAGUUACUCCAACUUGCCAGGCAUAGAUUUUGGAGCUUACAAGUGCUGUUGUCAUGCUGUGACCACCUCAGCUUUCUCCUUCCUCUCACCCAGAUGUCACGCCUGGCGUUAGCACAGACGAAGGCCUGGCUCUUCCUUGGGCUGCCUGGGGACUCAUGAAGGACCUAGCACCUGAGUUCCAGCUCAGCCUGCUUGGAGACUGUAGCAAUGAAGAGCCCCAGCACCUCAGGCCAAUGGGACGUGCCAUUGAAGAACAGUGCUCAAAGGGCCUCAUCCUGUCUUACUGUGAAAUCAUGGGCCAACACAUCUUUCUAACCAAGCCAGCACCCAACCGGAGGAGGACGAGGUGAACGCUGUCGGUGGGCACAGGACAGGAAGAUGAAGCCAACAAAGAAACAGCCCCCCGGCUCCUUGCGCCGGCCUGAGGUAAGGGAGUCGGGCAGAAGGCAAGGAGCUGAUGUAGGAUCCUCGCCACCCCACAAGCCACCCCACUUGCCCCUUUCCUGCCGUGGAGCACCCCGAGAGUCCCGGAGGUUCAGGCGGCCUGGCCUGUGUCCCCCGCACGGGUAGGGGACAUGCGGGGGGCCUGUCACCGCCCGGGCCUUAUCGCCGCUGCCCCCUCUGACACGGGGGCUGUGGGGGGACGAACGGGGACGGCGUCCCCUGCCGUUACCGCCGGCCCCGGUGGGGUGAGGGGGGGCGGCUCCGGCGCCGCCGGUCCCCUCCGAGCGACGCGCCACCACAUCUGAGCGCCAGGCAACUGGUUUUGUCACUUGCUUUAAGACGCAUCCUGCCUCGGUCUCUCUUGUUUCAUUACCCAAAAUCCCAGAGAAACCACCCGGCAGGAUCAAUCAGUCGCAGGCAGCCAGACAGUUUUCUUGUACUUUAUUAAAGUGUAAUCAAACAUCGGUUAAGUGGAAAAUAAAUAUCCAGAUCUAAUAAGCUGCUCA